GACGGAGGGGGCAAGCGUUGCUCGGAAUUACUGGGCGUAAAGGGCGCGUAGGCGGGAUGGUAAGUCGGUCGUGAAAUCCCUCGGCUCAACCGAGGAACGUCGAUCGAUACUACCGUUCUUGAGGAUUGCAGAGGAGACUGGAAUUCCCGGUGUAGCGGUGAAAUGUGUAGAGAUCGGGAGGAACACCGGUGGCGAAGGCGGGUCUCUGGGCAAUUCCUGACGCUGAGGCGCGAAAGCGUGGGGAGCAAACGGG
rnacentral:rRNA from 1 species